rnacentral:rRNA from 1 species
UACGAAGGGGGGCUAGCGUUGUUCGGAUUUACUGGGCGUAAAGCGCACGUAGGCGGAUCGAUCAGUCAGGGGGUGAAAUCCCAGAGCUCAACUCUGGAACUGCCUUUGAUACUGUCGAUCUGGAGUAUGGAAGAGGUGAGUGGAAUUCCGAGUGUAGAGGGUGAAAUUCGUAGAUAUUCGGGAGGAACACCAGUGGCGAAGGCGGCUCACUGGUCCAUUACUGACGCUGAGGUGCGAAAGCGUGGGGGAGCAAACAGG